AUUCUGGUCGGGGGAGGGAGGAGGCGGAAUAAACAGAAAGUGUAAGAAAUAAGUUACGUGGUGUUGAAGGUGAUAAGGACCACCGGAAGGACAACCCAGGCUAAGAGGUACGAAGAGUUCGGGAGGGCGCUGGGCGGUCUGUGGUGGUUCUAAGUGUCAUGGUGAAAAACGUAAAUGGGCACACACUCAAGUGAGAGAAAGUUUACCACCCCUGGCCGAAAAGCCACGAGGGCAAGUAUCAUCUUACAAAGCACCGGCUUCAGAUGAGAAAACCGGGGCUCCCAAAGGUCUGGCAACUCACCCACAGCAGUGACCGAUGCGGGCUGAGGUCCUAGGUCUGCACGCCCCGGAGUUAGCACGCCUAAGUGCCCUGCGACGGCUGCCCGCCCCCACUGGAGAUGGGGUGGGCAGGCAGACACGCGCACAUCUCCCCCAGAGUUCAAUGUGGAAUAAUUAAAACACGCACAAAAGCAAAGAGAAAAGGAAAAUCAACCCCCAUGAGCGCAUCACUCAGCUGCGGUCAUGAUUAAUUCAACCACUCUCGCUUCGCCCACACACUCCCCGGAUCCCUGGAUUAUUUAGACCAUAUCACUGUGGUGCUCUUCUAAAAGUAUCGAUUCCUAAGCUACUCCCUCUGAAUUUUCUGAUUCAGUAAGUCAGGACUGGGGUCUGAGAAUCUGUAUGUUUUUAUCAGUUCCUCGGGUUUCGGAAGCUAUAGUAUAAAGAAACGAACAUGGGUUCUACAGCAGGCAGGUCCUAGUAUGAGUCCUGGCUUUGCCCAAGCUAUGCAACUUUGGGUGAAAAUUCACAAUUUUUAGACUUUUUGUCUCGAAGAACCACCACCUCUGUCAACUUGUGGUCCACUGAGACUGUCUGAUUGUUUUCAUGUUAAAUAAAUGUGAUCAA